rnacentral:rRNA from 1 species
UACAGAGGUCCCAAGCGUUGUUCGGAUUUACUGGGCGUAAAGGGUGCGUAGGCGGUGGGGUAAGUUUGAGGUGAAAGCUCCGGGCUCAACCCGGAAACUGCCUUGAAAACUAUCCGGCUAGAGUGCAGAAGGGGCAACUGGAAUUCUCGGUGUAGCGGUGAAAUGCGUAGAUAUCGAGAGGAACACCUGCGGCGAAGGCGGGUUGCUGGGCUGACACUGACGCUGAUGCGCGAAAGCUAGGGGAGCGAACGGG